rnacentral:rRNA from 1 species
CGGGUGAGUAACACGUGGAUAACCUACCUAUAAGACUGGGAUAACUUCGGGAAACCGGAGCUAAUACCGGAUAAUAUUUUGAACCGCAUGGUUCAAAAGUGAAAGACGGUCUUGCUGUCACUUAUAGAUGGAUCCGCGCUGCAUUAGCUAGUUGGUAAGGUAACGACUUACCAAGGCAACGAUGCAUAGCCGACCUGAGAGGGUGAUCGGCCACACUGGAACUGAGACACGGUCCAG